AACGAACGCUGGCGGCAUGCCUAACACAUGCAAGUCGAACGAGACCUUCGGGUCUAGUGGCGCACGGGUGCGUAACGCGUGGGAACCUGCCCUCAGGUUCGGAAUAACUCCCCGAAAGGGGUGCUAAUACCGGAUAACGUCUUCGGACCAAAGAUUUAUCGCCUUUGGAUGGGCCCGCGUUGGAUUAGCUAGUUGGUAGGGUAAAAGCCUACCAAGGCGACGAUCCAUAGCUGGUCUGAGAGGAUGAUCAGCCACACUGGGACUGAGACACGGCCCAGACUCCUACGGGAGGCAGCAGUGGGGAAUAUUGGACAAUGGGCGAAAGCCUGAUCCAGCAAUGCCGCGUGAGUGAUGAAGGCCUUAGGGUUGUAAAGCUCUUUUACCCGGGAUGAUAAUGACAGUACCGGGAGAAUAAGCUCCGGCUAACUCCGUG
rnacentral:rRNA from 1 species